rnacentral:rRNA from 1 species
GAGUUUGAACCUGGCUCAGGACGAACGCUGGCGGCGUGCCUAACACAUGCAAGUCGAACGGAGAUACACGCUGAAUGGAUGGAGCUUGCUUUUGAAAUUCUUGUGUAUCUUAGUGGCGGACGGGUGAGUAACGCGUGAGCAACCUGCCUUUCAGAGGGGGAUAACGUUUGGAAACGAACGCUAAUACCGCAUGAGACCACGGUACUGCAUAGUACAGUGGCCAAAGGAGCAAUCCGCUGAAAGAUGGGCUCGCGUCCGAUUAGAUAGUUGGCGGGGUAACGGCCCACCAAGUCGACGAUCGGUAGCCGGACUGAGAGGUUGAACGGCCACAUUGGGACUGAGACACGGCCCAGACUCCUACGGGAGGCAGCAGUGAGGGAUAUUGGUCAAUGGGGGAAACCCUGAACCAGCAACGCCGCGUGAGGGAAGACGGUUUUCGGAUUGUAAACCUCUGUCCUCUGUGAAGAUAAUGACGGUAGCAGAGGAGGAAGCUCCGGCUAACUACGUGCCAGCAG